GAUGAACGCUGGCGGCGUGCCUAAUACAUGCAAGUCGAGCGAACAGACGCGGCGCUUGCUCCUCUGACGUUAGCGGCGGACGUGUGAGUAACACGUGUAAAACCUACCUAUCAGACUGGGAUAACUUCGGGACACCGGCGCUAAUCCCGGAUAAUAUAUUGCACCGCAUGGUUCAAUGGUGAAAUACGGUUUUUCUGUCUCUUAUCGAUGCAUACGCGCCGCAUGAGCUAGUUGUUAAGGUAAUGGCUUACGAAGGCAACGAUGCGUAGACGAACUGAUGGGGGGGUAGGCCACAUUGGAAGUUAGACAGGGUCAAGAGGACUAAGGGAGGCAGCAGUAGGGAAUCGUACGCAGUGGGCGAGAGCAUGACGGAGCAACGGCGAGUGAGUGAUGAAGGUGUUGGGAGCGUAAAACUCUGUUACGAGGGAAGAACAAAUGUGUAAGUAACUAUGCACGGAUUGACGGUACUUAAUCAGAAAGCAACGGCUAACUACGUG
rnacentral:rRNA from 1 species